CGUUUAAAUACGAUGAUACUUUUUUUUUAGGAGUGGUAAAUAAAAAAAUGGUUAAAGAUAAUAAUUGGAAUAAAGAAAUUAGUAACAGCAAAAAUGAUAUAAACAGUUGGAACGAAAAAAGAGAAAAUACUGAUGGGAAGAUAUGGAAUAUAAAUGGAAGAACUGAAGAAUUAAAAACAAGUCAUGGUUAUAUUGAUAAGGGAAACGAUAACACCAACAAGAGUAUGGAAAGGAGUAUGGACAGGAGUAUGCAAAAGAGUAUGGAAAACGCCACACACGAUAAUAAUGAUAAUAAAGAAAGUGACAUAAUGAAGAAACUUGAUUUGAUCAUAAAAAAAAAUAAUGAAUAUAUUGAAAAAAAUUGGCUAAAAGAGUCAACUACCUUUUUUUUAAUAAACCAAACUGUUCACUUAAAAAUAUAUUUUAAAAUAGAUAAAGAAAACAGUUCAUUAUGUUUACUUUUUAAUUUAUUUGAUAAACAAGUUAAAAAUGUACACCUUCGUACGUGUUUCGAUAUAAUAGAGUAUGACAUAGAACUUUACCCCAAAACAAAUAAUUUUGUUUUAGUCGAAAGUGAUCAGGGUAUAUUUUAUAAUUCUAAAGGAUUAACUGGGGGUAAUACCAACAGUAAUGUCGGUAGUAAUGUAGGUAGUAAAGGAGAUAGUAAAGGAGAUAGUAACGACGACAGUAAUGACGACAAUAACGACGACAGUAAUGACGACAAUAACGACGACAGUAAUGACGACAGUAACGACGACAGUAACAGCGACAGUAUUGGUUACGCUUCUGAUAGUUCUAAAAAAAUGAAUAAUAAUAUACCCAAAGACAACUAUAAUAAAAAAAAAAAAAACAGAUUAAUAAGUUUUACUAAUUUACAAAACAAUACAAGGAAUAUAUUUAUUACUAUAAAAUUUAAAAACAACACACCCUUUAUUCAUUUAAAAUAUAAUUAUAUUUGUUACUCAAAAAAAUAUAAAAAUAAAAAGUUAAUAAUUCCGUAUGUGUUUACUGACCCAUGUCCAUUGUCGAUAAGCGAGUUUAAAAACGUAAACAAAAAGAAAACAUCCUGGAUUAACAGAACUUAUGAUACAGAAGUAGAAAAUAACGUGAACAUAACAAAGUUGUUGUUUAUUUAUUUUAUGUUUUUAUCGAAAUAUUUAGGAAUGUGUUUUUUUAAUAUGAAAAAUAUUUUUUUAAAUUUACAACAAAAUAAACACUUAAAUGAAUUUCGUGCCAUUUUUAGUUUCAAAAGUUGUACACAUGAACAACCUGUACAGUUUGUAAAAGAUACAAUAGUGUUACUGAUAAACGUUCAACAUACAAAAAAGGAAGAAGCAAACCAAAAUUGUAACUACUCACUUUACACGUUUAAUACAAAAAUCAAAAUAGUGAAUAAUUCAAACGAACAAGUUGGCACUAAAUUAUUGGAAUAUUUCGAAUUUUAUUUAAUUCAACUUUUAAAAAAAAAAUUAAAAUAAAUUCUGACGUUAUUAAUUAUGCUAUUCUUAACCAGUAGAUCUUAACCAGUAGAUCUUAUCCAAUAGAUAAUUUCGAAUGUAUCAUAAACAAAAACAAAAUAUGGGCAAAAAAAAAAAGGAAAAAAAGGGAGAGUAUAUUUAUUUACCCACAGCUUGCAUUUAUCUUAUAAUUACUUAUCUUAUAAUUACUUAUCUUAUACUUACUUACCUUAUAUUUAUCUCACUUUUUUUUUUUUUUUUUUUUUUUUUCCGUUUAAAUCUUUUACAUAGUGUAUGACAAGCAAUUUCUAUUUAUACAUAUAAUAUUCACUUUUAUAAAUUAAAAAUGAGAGAAUAAAUUUUUAUAAUUUUUUUUUUUUUUUUUUUUU
rnacentral:lncRNA from 1 species